GUGACUCUGCGGAAUGCGUGAUCGGUUAGAAAACGGGGCGAGCCAACACUUCACAAACGGGAGCAUGACAACGUGGCGUGGAAGUGGUAGCCCUGAGGCAAGACGGAAGCGUCCAGUCAGCACCCACCUGCGUCAGCAGGUUCGUACCCACUGGCCACACGAUUCUGCGGAGUCUAA
rnacentral:other from 1 species